rnacentral:misc_RNA from 1 species
GAUGAAGAACGCAGCGAAAUGCGAUAAGUAAUGUGAAUUGCAGAAUUCAGUGAAUCAUCGAAUCUUUGAACGCACCUUGCGCCCUUUGGCUAUUCUGAAGGGCAUGCCUGUUUGAGUAUCAUGAACACCUCAACUCUCAUGGUUUGCCAUGAUGAGCUUGGACUUUGGGGGUCUUGCUGGCCUACGGUCAGCUCCUCUCAAAUGAAUCAGCUUGCCAGAGUUUGGUAGAGUCGCAGGUGUGAUAACUAUCUACGCUUGUGGUUUUCUGCCAGAUAACCUUCAGUGAUGGAGGUUCGCUGGAGCUUAUAAAUGUCUCUCCCCAGUGAGGACAGCUUUUUGAACGUUUGAUCUCAAAUCAGGUAGGACUACCCGCUGAACUUAAGCAUAUCAAUAAGCGGAGGA